rnacentral:rRNA from 1 species
UACGAAGGGUGCAACCGUUGCUCGGAAUUAUUGGGCGUAAAGCGCACGUAGGCGGCUUUUCAAGUCCCAUGUGAAAGCCCACGGCUUAACCGUGGAAGUGCAUGGGAAACUGGAAAGCUUGAGUACUUAAGAGGAUCGCGGAAUUCCCGGUGUAGAGGUGAAAUUCGUAGAUAUCGGGAGGAACACCAGUGGCGAAGGCGGCGAUCUGGGAAGAUACUGACGCUGAGGUGCGAAAGCGUGGGGAGCAAACAGG